CACGUAGGGGGCAAGCGUUGUCCGGAUUUAUUGGGCGUAAAGAGCUCGUAGGCGGUUUCGUAAGUCGGAUGUGAAAACUCCAGGCUCAACUUGGAGACGCCAUUCGAUACUGGCAGACUUGAGUGUGGUAGAGGCAAUCGGAAUUCCAGGUGUAGCGGUGAAAUGCGUAGAUAUCUGGAAGAACACCGGUGGCGCAAGCGGAUUGCUGGGCCAUAACUGACACUGAGGAACGAAAGCUAGGGGAGCAAAUGGG
rnacentral:rRNA from 1 species